rnacentral:tRNA from 1 species
GGAGGGGUGCCGGAGCGGUCAUAUCGGAGCGGUCUUGAAAACCGUCGAGGGCUUCGCCCUCCGUGGGUUCGAAUCCCACCCCCUCCGCCA